rnacentral:misc_RNA from 1 species
UGGCCCAUUAUGACUCCU